ACGAACGCCGGCGGCGUGCUUAACACAUGCAAGUCGAACGCGAAAGCCUGGGCAACCGGGCGAGUAGAGUGGCGAACGGGUGAGUAAUACGUGAGUAACCUACCCUUGAGUGGGGAACAACUCCUCGAAAGGGGAGCUAAUACCGCAUAAGACCACGACUUCUUCGGGAGUUGAGGUCAAAGGUGGCCUCAUCUAUACAGAGCGUUUGGGCACAUAUUCUGCCCUAGAUAUCGAGAGUCUGUACCCCAGCGCUUUGUCAGUGAAGCUAUCGCUUGAGGAGGGGCUCGCGGCCCAUCAGCUAGUUGGUAGGGUAACGGCCUACCAAGGCGACGACGGGUAGCUGGUCUGAGAGGACGACCAGCCACACGGGAAUUGAGAUACGGUCCCGACUCCUACGGGAGGCAGCAGUGGGGAAUCUUGGGCAAUGGGGGAAACCCUGACCCAGCGACGCCGCGUGGGGGAUGAAGGCCUUCGGGUUGUAAACCCCUGUUCGGUGGGACGAACAUUCUCCCAUGAAUAGUGGGAGAAUUUGACGGUACCACCAGAGUAAGCCCCGGCUAACUCCGUGCCAGCAGCCGCGGUAAUACGGAGGGGGCAAGUGUUGUUCGGAAUUACUGGGCGUAAAGGGCGCGCAGGCGGCUUGGCAAGUCGAGUGUGAAAUACCUCAGCUUAACUGAGGAAUGGCGCUCGAAACUACCUCGCUUGAGGGCGGGAGAGGGAAGUGGAACUCUCGGUGUAGGGGUGAAAUCUGUAGAUAUCGAGAGGAACACAGGUGGCGAAGGCGGCUUCCUGGCCCGUACCUGACGCUGAGGCGCGAAAGCGUGGGGGGCAAACAGGAUUAGAUACCCUGGUAGUCCACGCUGUAAACGAUGGUCACUAGGUGUGGGGGGUGUCGACUCCCUCCGUGCCGAAGCUAACGCAUUAAGUGACCCGCCUGGGGAGUACGGCCGCAAGGCUAAAACUCAAAGGAAUUGACGGGGGCCCGCACAAGCAGCGGAGCAUGUGGUUUAAUUCGACGCAACGCGAAGAACCUUACCUGGGCUUGACAUGUUCCUGACCGGCCUGGAAACAGGUCUUCCCUUCGGGGCAGGAUCACAGGUGGUGCAUGGCUGUCGUCAGCUCGUGUCGUGAGAUGUUGGGUUAAGUCCCGCAACGAGCGCAACCCCCGUCGCAUGUUGCCAGCAUUUAGUUGGGGACUCAUGCGAGACUGCCGGUGACAAACCGGAGGAAGGUGGGGAUGACGUCAAGUCAUCAUGCCCCUUAUGUCCAGGGCUACACACGUGCUACAUUGGCGCGUACAGAGGGCUGCGAUACCGCGAGGUGGAGCGAAUCCCUUAAAGCGCGUCUCGGUUCGGAUUGCAGGCUGAAACUCGCCUGCAUGAAGGUGGAGUUGCUAGUAAUCGUGGAUCAGCACUGCCACGGUGAAUACUUCCCGGG
rnacentral:rRNA from 1 species